GGUUUCCAGCAUCCCAUGCACUGUCUCUGCCACCUUCCCACCUCCUGUGACCACCCAGGAAUGGGCUAGCUUGCCCCUGGGUGGUAGUGGGAUGGCUGCUGG